rnacentral:rRNA from 1 species
UCAUCUUCGGGGGUAGAGCACUGUUUCGGCUAGGGGGUCAUCCCGACUUACCAACCCGAUGCAAACUACGAAUACCGAAGAAUGUUAUCACGGGAGACACACGGCGGGUGCUAACGUCCGUCGUGAAGAGGGAAACAACCCAGACCGCCAGCUAAGGUCCCAAAGUCAUGGUUAAGUGGGAAACGAUGUGGGAAGGCCCAGACAGCCAGGAUGUUGGCUUAGAAGCAGCCAUCAUUUAAAGAAAGCGUAAUAGCUCACUGGUCGAGUCGGCCUGCGCGGAAGAUGUAACGGGGCUAAACCAUGCACCGAAGCUGCGGCAGCGACGCUUAUGCGUUGUUGGGUAGGGGAGCGUUCUGUAAGCCGUUGAAGGUGGCCUGUGAGGGUUGCUGGAGGUAUCAGAAGUGCGAAUGCUGACAUAAGUAACGAUAAUGCGGGUGAAAAACCCGCACGCCGGAAGACCAAGGGUUCCUGUCCAACGUUAAUCGGGGCAGGGUGAGUCGACCCCUAAGGCGAGGCCGAAAGGCGUAGUCGAUGGGAAACAGGUUAAUAUUCCUGUACUUGGUGUUACUGCGAAGGGGGGACGGAGAAGGCUAUGUUGGCCGGGCGACGGUUGUCCCGGUUUAAGCAUGUAGGCGGAUGUUCCAGGUAAAUCCGGAACGUCACUAACGCUGAGGUGUGAUGACGAGGCACUACGGUGCUGAAGUGACAAAUGCCCUGCUUCCAGGAAAAGCCUCUAAGCAUCAGGUAACAUCAAAUCGUACCCCAAACCGACACAGGUGGUCAGGUAGAGAAUACCAAGGCGCUUGAGAGAACUCGGGUGAAGGAACUAGGCAAAAUGGUGCCGUAACUUCGGGAGAAGGCACGCUGAUGGUAGGUGAAGUGACUUGCUCACGGAGCUGAAAUCAGUCGAAGAUACCAGCUGGCUGCAACUGUUUAUUAAAAACACAGCACUGUGCAAACACGAAAGUGGACGUAUACGGUGUGACGCCUGCCCGGUGCCGGAAGGUUAAUUGAUGGGGUUAUCCUCACGGAGAAGCUCUUGAUCGAAGCCCCGGUAAACGGCGGCCGUAACUAUAACGGUCCUAAGGUAGCGAAAUUCCUUGUCGGGUAAGUUCCGACCUGCACGAAUGGCGUAAUGAUGGCCAGGCUGUCUCCACCCGAGACUCAGUGAAAUUGAACUCGCUGUGAAGAUGCAGUGUACCCGCGGCAAGACGGAAAGACCCCGUGAACCUUUACUAUAGCUUGACACUGAACACUGGUCCUUGAUGUGUAGGAUAGGUGGGAGGCUUUGAAGUGUGGACGCCAGUCUGCAUGGAGCCAUCCUUGAAAUACCACCCUUUAAUGGCUGGUGUUCUAACGUGGGCCCCUAAUCCGGGUUGCGGACAGUGUCUGGUGGGUAGUUUGACUGGGGCGGUCUCCUCCUAAAGAGUAACGGAGGAGCACGAAGGUCAGCUAAUCCUGGUCGGACAUCAGGAGGUUAGUGCAAUGGCAUAAGCUGGCUUGACUGCGAGCGUGACGGCGCGAGCAGGUGCGAAAGCAGGUCAUAGUGAUCCGGUGGUUCUGAAUGGAAGGGCCAUCGCUCAACGGAUAAAAGGUACUCCGGGGAUAACAGGCUGAUACCGCCCAAGAGUUCAUAUCGACGGCGGUGUUUGGCACCUCGAUGUCGGCUCAUCACAUCCUGGGGCUGAAGUAGGUCCCAAGGGUAUGGCUGUUCGCCAUUUAAAGUGGUACGCGAGCUGGGUUUAGAACGUCGUGAGACAGUUCGGUCCCUAUCUGCCGUGGGCGCUGGAGAAUUGAGGGGGGCUGCUCCUAGUACGAGAGGACCGGAGUGGACGCAUCACUGGUGUUCGGGUUGUCAUGCCAAUGGCAUUGCCCGGUAGCUAAAUGCGGAAGAGAUAAGUGCUGAAAGCAUCUAAGCACGAAACUUGCCCCGAGAUGAGUUCUCCCUGACUCCUUGAGAGUCCUGAAGGAACGUUGAAGACGACGACGUUGAUAGGCCGGGUGUGUAAGCGCAGCGAUGCGUUGAGCUAACCGGUACUAAUGAACCGUGAGGCUUAACCUU